rnacentral:lncRNA from 1 species
AGACGCCCGCUGGACGUCAACUCGGCCGGACGCGGGGCACGGGCGCUAACAGGCUCCUAGGAGCCUCCCCGGGCGCCCCCCGCCCAGGGCGCGCUCUGCUCACCUGCAGGUUUCGGCGGCUCCGCGGUGACUAACAACAGCGGCAGCAGCAGCAGCAGCAGCAGAAGCGGUGGCGGCUGUGGCAGCCCCGGGCGCCCGCCCGGACCGCCGCGGGUCAUCGCUCCACGGCCGCGACCUUCCUCUGCGGGAUCAGGCGGCCGCGGUGGCCCGCGGUGGCAGAAGUUGCAAGAGAGGCUCCUGGCCUACUCAGGGGCGCCGCCUCUCCGAGGUGGGGCGUCCUCAACUUUCCUCUUUCUUGAGCCCGGCCUGCUCCGGGCUCUGAGGGGCGAGGACGCUUCACGUGGUGGCCUGGGGCCCACCCCGCCUAGGAAAGGCGGAUCCUUUACGUCUGACCCUCUAGCAACCCCUGGGCCGGUCUGGGAAAGUUCCCCAGCUGCACUUCUGGGAAAUGCAGAGGCUGCCUGCCGCUUUCUUUCGCAGUUUUGCGGCCCAAGGCUUGGGCGAAUCAGUUCACAUCAACACCCCUACUAGCCUCUCCCUCCGGGGUCGACCAUUUAUCUCCAGCAGCGGACCAGGCGCCCGGGCCAGGGUGACAUGCGCGCCCUGCCUACACGCAGCUCGGAUCCUCUGCUGUUUCUGGAGAGGCCUCCACAGGUAGAAGCUCCCUGGAACAACUGCUGGAAUAAGGUUCCAGAGUGGAAGGUGGAAGCUCCCUCUUGGGAUAAAGGAUCCACAGUGGAAAAAAAAAAAGUUGCCCUCUGCUGGAAAACAGCAUCUUUGUCCUCUGAGAAAAACAGUCUCCCUUCUUACGGAGGCCAGUGGAUUCCAUCCUAGAGGCUGUGUUGACCGUAUCUCCAAAUAGACAAUAACGAGGCAUCUUGAUUCCCACAACUCCAGCAGCACAGGGACCUGAAAUGAAGGACAGAAAGCAGGAAGUGGAGGCAAUAGAAAUUGCAGAGUAGAGUGAAGACAGGUGGCAUUUCUGGGAUUGGUGCCAUGACAAUGGAAGACAGAAGACAAGACAAAGGCAUAACUUUCCGUAAGCAUUUCAUGGACCAGGCGAAUGCAGCUGGAUGGGGAAGCCUGUGGCACAAGGAGGUUCCAACAAGCAGAACAAAAGCCCAGGCUAGACUAUGCGCUGUGGCAUAUUAGGUCAGUCUGCAGGCUUCUUUGUGAAUAUUCAUCAUCAUCAACAGACAACAGACCUCUCCCACUUUCCCUUCCUGCCUCUCUGGAUACCGAACACAGGCAUGAUAGAGGCGGCUGUACCUGAGCAUCAGGAGAGCGACGAGCAGGAGCAGCACCACAGCUCCAGUGAGGGUGAAGACUGCAAUCAUCAGGAUCUGAGGGCCUGUGGCGGAAAAUGCGUUAGGAAGGACCUUAGACAAGAGAGCAAAAGCAUUUCCAAGAUUCUAGCUGUACAAUGUAAUUUGGGGAAGGGAAAAGAGAACCCUUUAAAAAAAUUU